CGGCAACAGCUCAAAUUUGAAAUCUGGCCUCAUUUGGGGUCCGAGUUGUAAUUUGUAGAGGAUGUUUCGGGUACCGCUCCGGUCUAAAUUUCUUGGAACAGAAUGUCAGAGAGGGUGAGAAUCCCGUCUUGGACCGGCGGUAGGGCCCAUGUGAAACUCCUUCGACGAGUCGAGUUGUUUGGGAAUGCAGCUCAAAAUGGGUGGUAAAUUUCAUCUAAAGCUAAAUAUUGGCCAGAGACCGAUAGCGCACAAGUAGAGUGAUCGAAAGAUGAAAAGCACUUUGAAAAGAGAGUUAAACAGUAUGUGAAAUUGUUGAAAGGGAAGCGCUUGCAACCAGACUUGCGCGCGGCGGUUCCCCCUGCCUUUUGGCUGGGUUACUCCGCCGUGUCCAGGCCAACAUCGGUUCUGGGGGCCGGUUAAAGGCCCCGGGAAUGUAUCUACCCUUCGGGCGUAGACUUAUAGCCCGGGGUGUCAUGCGGCCUCCCGGGACCGAGGAACGCGCUUCGGCUCGGAUGUUGGCGUAAUGGUUGUCAGCGACCCGUCUUGAA
rnacentral:rRNA from 1 species